rnacentral:rRNA from 1 species
CACGUAGGCGGCAAUGUAAGUCGCAGGUGAAAGCCCUCGGCUCAACCGAGGAACUGCCUGCGAAACUGCGUUGCUUGAGUCCGGGAGGGGGGAGCGGAAUUCCCAGUGUAGCGGUGAAAUGCGUAGAUACUGGGAGGAACACCGGUGGCGAAGGCGGCUCCCUGGACCGGUACUGACGCUGAGGUGCGAAAGCGUGGGUAGCAAACAGGAUUAGAUACCCUGGUAGUCC